UACGGGGGGAGCGAGCGUUGUUCGGAAUCACUGGGCGUAAAGGGUGCGCAGGCGGGAGAUUAAGUUGAAUGUGAAAACCUCGGGCUUAACCCGGGGCCUGCAUCCAAAACUGAUCUUCUUGAGUAUCGGAGAGGAAAGUGGAACUCCAGGUGUAGCGGUGAAAUGCGUAGAUAUCUGGAGGAACACCUGUGGCGAAGGCGGCUUUCUGGCCGAAUACUGACGCUCAUGCACGAAGGCUAGGGGAGCAAAC
rnacentral:rRNA from 1 species